CUUAUACUCCCUUCGUCCAUAAAUACUUGUCACAUAAAUGUAUAAAAGUGGAUGUAUCUAGAACUAAAAUACGUCUAGAUACAUCCAUUUCUUUGACAAGUAUUUCCGGACGGAGGGAGUAUUUA
rfam:Triticum aestivum genome assembly, contig: Triticum_aestivum_CS42_TGACv1_scaffold_195173_3AL